GCUUGGGGAUAUGCCUUUAGGUGGGGACGAACAGUUGGAAACGACUGCUAAUACCGCAUAAUGUCUACGGACCAAAGGAGGGGCGUUCUUCGGAACCUUUCGCCUUUAGAUUAGCCCAAGUGAGAUUAGCUAGAUGGUAAGGUAAUGGCUUACCAUGGCGACGAUCUCUAGCUGGUUUGAGAGGAUGAUCAGCCACACUGGGGACUGAGACACGGCCCAGACUCCUACGGGAGGCAGCAGUUGAGGAAUAUUGGUCAAUGGAGGCAACUCUGAACCAGCCAUGCCGCGUGCAGGAAGACU
rnacentral:rRNA from 1 species